CCCUAUAAUUUUUGAUCGAUGCUAACUGCAUAAUAAAAUGUCAUCAUGCAACAUCUUAUAUGGUUAUGUAUUGUUUUGUUCCAGAAUUUACCAUGAGAUGUCAAGAAUUAGGAUGAGAAUCGGAUGUUGGAGACUGAGCACAUGUUGCAGGUAUCGUGGCGAGAAUGGGAGGAGCGACGGUGUAGCCGAGGGAGAGGGAAUAUGCGACCUGAAAGACAUGUUGAGACAAAAAAAAGAAAGAGAAAGAACAUUCAAACAUGUGGUGUUAGGAGGGGGAGAGACCUUGUCUUUUAUAAUUAUCGUGAUAUUUUUUGAAGGUUAGGUAACUCCUCACUGCUAGGUAACACAUCAGUUUUAUCCAUUUCAUCCUGAAAAUCAGUAAUUCAUUAAUGAGUGACAAACAAAUAGAGGUACUAUGUAAAUCUGUUACAGAGUACAAGUAAAGUGAUUUUUUCUAAGGCUGGCAAGUGCUUUAGAUAUUUGAAGCCUACAAAUAGCUCAUACUCUUUAUCGGAAGCAUAUGAACUUGAU